ensembl:lncRNA
AAAGCGGAAUGAACCGGGCAAGGGGAACGGAGGUGGUGCUGCCGCUUCCGCUUUUAUAGCGGCGACGCGGCCUCCUGCGGCCGCCCCGCCCUGGCCUGGCCCGGCCCGGCCCCCUCCCCUCCCCUCCCUCCGCCGCGGGAUUCCCUCCGUGCCGCGCCAGACGGGGGGAGGAGCGGCCUGCGGGUCCCUGCGCGGGGGCGGCGGCGGCGACUGGAGCCGGAGCCGAGGCCGAGGCUGAGGCCGGAGCGGGGGCCGCGGGCCCCGGGGAACGCGCAGCGCUCCCGGUUGUACCUCCCCUGUGAGGGAAUCGCGGUGUCCCCGUCACGGCGCAGCGCACCUCGGGGUCCAGUAUCCGCCCGCGGCUGUGUCGGGGCCGCUGCUCGUGCGGGUGCACGGUGAAAAUACCGUCCCUUGUCAGGGUAGUUUUACCCCGGGCCGGCCCCCGGCCGGCUCUGCGGCAGCGCUCGGAGGCUGCCUCAGCACCAGCCUGGGACAGGGCUGCGUGACAUCCGCACCCCGACAGCCGCGGACCGCCCGGGCAGCGAGUGCCGCCCUAGGUGCCAGAUCCCAGCGGUGUCCCCGGGUUCCAGACCCUGCCCGUGUCCCUGUGUGCCAGAUCCCUGUGUGCCAGAUCCCUGCAUCCCUGUUGCCCUCAUCCCUGCCCGCUGUCCUGUCCAUCACAGCCGGCUGAGCUCGGGGCAGGCCGGGGCAGAGCAGCAGCUGUGCCAUCCUUGGACGGAAAAGCUGUUCUUGGGGCGUAAAGCAGGGCGUUGUUUAAACAUGGGUGUGUAAAGGAGUUUGUCAAAUUCCAGAGAUUGCACUCUUCAGCUUAGGGGAGCAAAUCCCAGUGAAGUCAUAUUUUAAGUACCUAAGCCCCUUUAUGGAUCUGGGCCCAAAUUAGAGUCACAGAGCAUGAACUUGACUCAGAGCACUAAAACUACAGCCCAAGUUUUAAGCUGCAGAAUCAGCAUCUUGUCCUUGCUGCAAAACAAAUUUUCAAAAUUGAUCCUUAACAAAAGUCCUUCCACACCUCACUCUUGCUUGUUUCUAAGGUUUGCUUUUCAGACUAAAAUAAGUCUUUAAUAGACCAAAACAUUUUUCUUCAACAAAAUAAAUCUUAAUCACUUGACAUAUUUUCAGGUUUUUUUACAUUUUUGGAGGCCACUCUCAAGCUUCCAGUCAUGGGUUUGGGUAAUUUCCCCAAGACAAAGCUGCUUCUCUCAUGCCACCCAAAUCUACCUGGCCAUUCCUCACUGCAUGUGGUCUCCUGCAUGCCUUCAUGUAAGGCAGGAAAAUAAAAUGGCAAAAAUUGAACUUUGGAGUUGAUUCCAUAGAGAAGAACACAAGUGCCCAGUAAGUCUUUAGGAAGACGUAUCAUGCACAUUGCCAUGUCACCUUGACAUAUAUUUCUUCUUGUCCAAGACCUUUAGGAUAAAACCCUGAAUAACCGCAGACUCCUGUUUUCAGUCAGGAACUGUAACCCAGUUGCAACCUGUGAUGUAAAGUUCUUUGGCUUAAUAAAUAUCUCCUAUUAGUCACAGGGAGAGAGUAAAUACCCUUUUCUAAAAUGUUAAUCUUACUGAUAGCAUUUGAUAGUCAAACAUGAAACACUCCUGACUCACCUGUCAGAUUUUUCUCAAAUCAGGGAAAGCAGAAUUUGUUAAAGUGGUCUUGCCACAUCCCUACCAAAUCCAGGGACCUCACAGACACAUUUUCCCAAGCUUCUCUGCUGUUAUUAGCAGUAGGCAUUGUUCUCAGAGCACGUUCUUUGGCUGAUCAGCCAAAGGCCUGCCAUGUUUACACACUAACAGUCACUUCUCCUGCAGGUCCUCCCAGCUCUCCUGUUGUUUUCUUAAAUGGUAAUAAUGUCUCGAUUUUGCACCGACUUUUCCACCUGUAUUAUUUCAAAACUGGCAAAUCCCAUCCUGCCUUUCACUGUAAAACUUGGGUGGUGUCUGAGCUGUUAACUCUCUUCAUGUUCGGGAUUUCACAGUCAGGUUACAAGACCUGCUAAAAGGUCCUUUGACAAUUCUUAAAUCCUCAUU